UAAGCACACUGUUGGUUAUGUGUGCCCAAGCAUUGAGGCAGUCAAAGUAGGCAAAUCCGCUUUGAUAAUGCUGGGAUGUGAUGGGGAGCGAAAUUUAGUAGCGAAGUAGCUGAUUUCACACUGUCAAGAAAAGUCUCUAUCGAGGUUAAAGGUACCCGUACCGCAAACCGACACAGGUGGGUGAGGAGAGUAUCCUAAGGCCAGCGAGAGAACUGUUGUUAAGGAACUCGGCAAAAUGACCCCGUAACUUAGGGAUAAGGGGUGCCACCAUCAGGUGGCCGCAGAGAAUAGGCCCAAGCGACUGUUUACCAAAAACAUAGGUUUCUGCUAAGUCGCAAGACGAUGUAUAGGAGCUGACGCCUGCCCGGUGCUGGAAGGUUAAGGGGAUCUGUUAGAGCAAUCGAAGCAGUGAACUUAAGCCCCAGUAAACGGCGGCCGUAACUAUAACGGUCCUAAGGUAGCGAAAUUCCUUGUCGGGUAAGUUCCGACCCGCACGAAAGGCGUAACGAUUUGGGCACUGUCUCAACAACAGACUCGGUGAAAUUGUAAUUCCGGUGAAGAUGCCGGAUACCUGCGACAGGACGGAAAGACCCCAUGGAGCUUUACUGUAGCUUGACAUUGGGUCUUGGUACUACAUGUACAGGAUAGGUGGGAGGCUUUGAAACCAGGACGCCAGUUUUGGCGGAGCCAUCCUUGGGAUACCACCCUUGUAGUACUGGGACUCUAACCAUAGGCCAUGAAUCUGGUCUUGGGACACUGUCAGGUGGGCAGUUUGACUGGGGCGGUCGCCUCCCAAAAGGUAACGGAGGCGCUCAAAGGUUCUCUCAGUACGGUCGGAAAUCGUACGUAGAGUGUAAAGGCAAAAGAGAGCUUGAUUGCAAGACAUACAGGUCGAGCAAGGAUGAAAAUCGGACUUAGUGAUCCGGUGGUUCUGCGUGGAAGGGCCAUCGCUCAACGGAUAAAAGCUACCCUGGGGAUAACAGGCUUAUCUCCCCCAAGAGUCCACAUCGACGGGGAGGUUUGGCACCUCGAUGUCGGCUCAUCACAUCCUGGGGCUGUAGUAGGUCCCAAGGGUUGGGCUGUUCGCCCAUUAAAGUGGUACGCGAGCUGGGUUCAGAACGUCGUGAGACAGUUCGGUCCCUAUCCGUCGCAGGCGUAGGAAAUUUGAGAAGACCUGUCCUUAGUACGAGAGGACCGGGAUGGACG
rnacentral:rRNA from 1 species